rnacentral:lncRNA from 10 species
UCUGGCUUACGACAGAAACACAGUUGACAAAGUUUCUGUUCUUAAAGGGAGUGCUUUGGGCAACUGCAGAUGGGGAAAGAAAAUUAACGAAGAGCCUUCAUGCAAGGAAAUGACCAUUUUGGUGGUGACAGGCAUGGAUGAAGAACAGCAUGGAGCCUAGAAGAGGAUUCUGAAUGAAAAAUGUCUAGGGAAAGUAGACCCUGAGAGCCCAGCACAGACACAGUGACCCCUGUGAAAUCUGGCUAAGAAUCAAAUUAAAUCCUCAGUGAGGAGAGAUUAAAGGUUAACACCGGAACUGCUCUAUACAUUUUUUAUAUUUUUAGUAGAUAUACAUUUUGAUUGGGUUAACUAUUUGGUUAACUCUAUAUUGUUAGUUGUCAGAGUAUGGAUUCAAUCAGUCUGAACUUAUUUUUGAGCUGUAUAUAAAGCUCUGAGUUAAAAAAAAUUUGGAGGCUUUGUUAAAGAAAGAAAGCUGUCCUUCAUGAACCCCACUGCCAACUGCAAUCCAGACUCCAGAGUGGACAGACCACCCUAGAGAGUGGUAAAACCAGGUAAGCAGCACCUCUUCAGGAACAGGGAUGUGAGGAGGUUUAUUCCUGCCUGCUCAUACUUGUUUUACUUCAUGCUUAUAAGAAUUGAGGUUAAUGAACGUGACAGCUUCUGAUUGUACAGUGAGAGGUUGAAGAAAUAAGGAAAAGGACUAAUAGAAGGUUCUUACUUUACCAUCUGCCAUAGUUUGGAUGUUUGUCCGCUCUGGAUCUCAAGUUGAAAUGUGAUCCCCAGUGCUGAAGGUGGGCCUAGAGGGAAGUUUUUGGAGCAUGGGGGAGGAUCCCUCAUGAAUGUCUUGGUGUCCUCCUCACAGUAAUAAGUGAGUUCCUGCAAGAUCUGAUUGUUAAAGAGUCUAGGGUCCCUCCUACUUAUUGCCUCCUUUUGCCAUGUGAUAUUGUUAAAGAGUCUAGGGUCCCUCCUACUUUUUGCCUCCUUUUGCCAUGUGAUGUUGUUAAAGAGUCUGGGGUCCCUCCUACUUCUUACCUUCUUUUGCCAUGUGACACACCUGCUCCCCCUUCACCUUCCACCAUGAGUGGAAGCUUCCUGAGGCCCUCACCAGAAGCAAUGCUGGUACCAUGCUUGUACAGACUGCUGAACCAGAGCCAAAUAAAACUCUUUUCUUUACAAAUUACCCAGCCUCAGGUAUACGUUUACAGCAAUGCAAAAUGGACUAACAGAACAUUCGUACUGAGGAAUGGGGUGUUGCUGUAAAGACAUAUGAAGAUGUGGAAGCAGCUUUGAAACUGGGUAAUGGGCAGAGGCUGGAAAACUUCUGAGGGCUCAGAAGAAGACAGG